GUGAGGAAUAUUGGUCAAUGGGCGCAAGCCUGAACCAGCCAUGCCGCGUGCAGGAUGACGGUCCUAUGGAUUGUAAACUGCUUUUGCACAGGAAGAAACACUACCUCGUGAGGUAGCUUGACGGUACUGUGAGAAUAAGGAUCGGCUAACUCCGUGCCAGCAGCCGCGGUAAUACGGAGGAUCCAAGCGUUAUCCGGAAUCAUUGGGUUUAAAGGGUCCGUAGGCGGUCAGAUAAGUCAGUGGUGAAAGCCCAUCGCUCAACGAUGGAACGGCCAUUGAUACUGUUUGACUUGAAUUACUUGGAAGUAACUAGAAUAUGUAGUGUAGCGGUGAAAUGCUUAGAGAUUACAUGGAAUACCAAUUGCGAAGGCAGGUUACUACAAGUGGAUUGACGCUGAUGGACGAAAGCGUGGGUAGCGAACAGGAUUAGAUACCCUGGUAGUCC
rnacentral:rRNA from 1 species